GAUGAAGAACGUAGCGAAAUGCGAUAAGUAAUGUGAAUUGCAGAAUUCCGUGAAUCAUCGAAUCUUUGAACGCACAUUGCGCCCCCUGGCAUUCCGGGGGGCAUGCCUGUCCGAGCGUCAUUUCUGCCCUCAAGCACGGCUUGUGUGUUGGGUGUGGUCCCCCCGGGGACCUGCCCGAAAGGCAGCGGCGACGUCCGUCUGGUCCUCGAGCGUAUGGGGCUCUGUCACUCGCUCGGGAAGGACCUGCGGGGGGUUGGUCACCACCAUGUUUUACCACGGUUGACCUCGGAUCAGGUAGGAGUUACCCGCUGAACUUAAGCAUAUCAAUAAGCGGGAGGA
rnacentral:misc_RNA from 1 species